rnacentral:rRNA from 1 species
AGGAUGAACGCUGGCGGCGUGCCUAACACAUGCAAGUCGAACGUCCUGUCUCGCAAGAGGCAGGGAGUGGCGGACGGGUGAGUACCACGUGGGUCAUCUACCGUGAGGUGAGGAAUACCGGCGAGAAAUCGCCGACAAGACCGCAUAGGCUCGAUGCAAGUCGAGCAAAGCUCUUUCGAGAGAGGGAGCGCCACACAAGGAGCCUGCGCCCGAUUAGCUAGCUGGUGGAGUAACGGUUCACCAGGGCGACGAUCGGUAGCUGGUCUGAGAGGACGAUCAGCCACACUGGGAUUGAGAACGGCCCAGACUCCUACGGGGGGCGAGCAGUGAGGAAUUUCGUCAAUGGGGCAACCCUGAACGAGCAACGCCGCGUGCAGGAAGAAGGUUUCGGAUCGUAAACUGCUUUCUCGGGGAAGAGAACGGACGGUACCCGAGGAAUCAGCCCGGCUAACUACGUGCCAGCAGCCGCGGU